rnacentral:rRNA from 1 species
CUACGGGGCGCUGCAGUGAGGAAUAUUGCACAAUGGAGGAAACUCUGAUGCAGCAACGCCGCGUGGAGGAUGACGCAUUUCGGUGUGUAAACUCCUUUUAUAUGUCAAGAAAAUGACGGUAGCAUAUGAAUAAGCACCGGCUAACUCCGUGCCAGCAGCCGCGGUAAUACGGAGGGUGCAAGCGUUACUCGGAAUCACUGGGCGUAAAGGACGCGUAGGCGGGUUGGAAAGUCAGGUGUGAAAUCCUACAGCUUAACUGUAGAACUGCACUUGAAACUUCUAAUCUAGAGUAUGGGAGGGGGAGAUGGAAUUAGUGGUGUAGGGGUAAAAUCCGUAGAUAUCACUAGGAAUACCUAAAGCGAAGGCGAUCUCCUGGAACAUUACUGACGCUAAGGCGUGAAAGCGUGGGGAGCAAACAGGAUUAGAUACCCGUGUAGUC